AUGGCCGCGGGCUGGUCCCUGGGCGCUGCCUGGGACGGCCGUCCCUCAGCUCCGGGACCCGCCGGGCGCUGCCGGCCCCGCGGCGCUGAGGGGUCCCCGUCACCGGGCGGUCACGUGACGGGACAGCCCACCGUGCCCCCCCGCCCCAUUCCCGCCGCCCUUUCCUGCGGGGAGGCGCUGCGCGGGCGCCGAUUGGCUGCGGCGGGACGCGCUGUGAUUUCUCAUUGGCCGCCGGGCGCCGGGCGCCGCCCCCUCCCGUGUCACGGGAUAGGCCUGGCGGGAGCGCGGGUGGGCGUGGCCCGGCGGCCGGUGGCGCUGGGCGGGGACGCGUUCCUUCCGCUGAUUGGUCGGUGGCGCCGGCGGUGCCGGGCGCUGAUUGGCCGGGGCGCGCGGGCCGGCGGGGGGGGCCGGGCGGGAGCCGCACGCGGCAGAGGCGGGAGUGGCGCGGCCGGAGCCGGGCGGGACCCGCCGGGACAGGUGAGACCGGGGCUGCCCGGGACCCCCCGCCCCCGCUGCCCUCCCGCCGCCCCGGCACCCAGCGCCGCUCCUCGGGCCGCCGCCCGCCGCGGCCCCGCUCCUUCUCUCCGCCACCCGAAGAGCGCGGCCUCCCCGGGGCCUGUCCGUGAGGGGCGGCACCGCCCGGUGGCGGCAGCGCUGAGGCGGCGGGGGCCCUGCGGGCCGGGCCCGGGCCGGGCUGCACCGGAGGUUCCGCGGUGUCACCGGCGGGCGGAGGCGGGGUCGCAGUCAGACCGAGGAGGGGAGCGCGGGGCUCCUGCUGGGGCCGGCCCUGCCCGCUCCGGCCCUGCCGCGGGGCCUGAGCCCUUCCCCGGCCGAGGCUGCGGGCGCGGCUCGCCUCCCUCCCUCUGCCGUCCCCCCGCGCUGGGGCCGUGCAGAUCUCGCCUAGAAGCGCCUGGCGGGUGGGAGAUUCUUGUGCCGCAGAGAGCCGGGGUAGCGGCACGGAGCUGGUUCUUCUUCGCACUCGGUGGGGUUUGUCCGGUGCCCCGCGAAGGCCACACACGGCUGUGUUUGGAGCAGGUGCCUCCCCUCCGUGUUGGGUAG
rnacentral:lncRNA from 13 species